UGAGUAACACGUAUCCAACCUGCCGUCUACUCUUGGACAGCCUUCUGAAAGGAAGAUUAAUACAAGAUGGCAUCAUGAGUCCGCAUGUUCACAUGAUUAAAGGUAUUCCGGUAGACGAUGGAGAUGCGUUCCAUUAGAUAGUAGGCGGGGUAACGGCCCACCUAGUCUUCGAUGGAUAGGGGUUCUGAGAGGAAGGUCCCCCACAUUGGAACUGAGACACGGUCCAA
rnacentral:rRNA from 1 species